rnacentral:rRNA from 1 species
CGGUACCUAACCAGAAAGCCACGGCUAACUACGUGCCAGCAGCCGCGGUAAUACGUAGGUGGCAAGCGUUGUCCGGAAUUAUUGGGCGUAAAGCGCGCGCAGGUGGUCCUUUAAGUCUGAUGUGAAAGCCCACGGCUCAACCGUGGAGGGUCAUUGGAAACUGGGGGACUUGAGUGCAGGAGAGAAGAGUGGAAUUCCACGUGUAGCGGUGAAAUGCGUAGAGAUGUGGAGGAACACCAGUGGCGAAGGCGACUCUUUGGCCUGUAACUGACACUGAGGCGCGAAAGCGUGGGGAGCAAACAGGAUUAGAUACCCUGGUAGUCCACGCCGUAAACGAUGAGUGCUAAGUGUUAGAGGGUUUCCGCCCUUUAGUGCUGCAGCAAACGCAUUAAGCACUCCGCCUGGGGAGUACGGCCGCAAGGCUGAAACUCAAAGCAAUUGACGGGGACCCGCACAAGCGGUGGAGCAUGUGGUUUAAUUCGAAGCCACGCGAAGAACCUUACCAGGUCUUGACAUCCUCUGACAAUCCUAGAGAUAGGACUUUCCCCUUCGGGGGACAGAGUGACAGGUGG